rnacentral:rRNA from 1 species
AUGGAGGAAGCCUACAAUGAGGAGCCGGAGGCACAGGCACACUUCGACGUUGUUAUGGAGAAGGAGCAGACCAUGUUAGCGUUCCGGCAAGUGCGGGAGGAGCAGCGGUACAACCUCGCCCUCCUCGCGCAUCACCGGCCGGCGAAGGGCCAAAUCUACAUCGAGUUCGCGAGCAUGGAAGCCGUGGAGGUCAUGGUCGCGAAGAACCCGAACUUCAUCGAGGAGCGGCGGGAAUUCUACGAGGCACGCGCAGCACCCGCGUGGCGGUCCAUGACGAGAAUGCAUGCAAAUGCGUGUCGUUCGCGCCAGCAACUACAUGCCAUUGUCAUCGCUACAACAAUGAGGCCGGUCCAUCCACGUCCAUCGUCGACCUCACCUCCUCCACUGUUAGACUGUAUUUACAUGUGUAUAUUGUAA